rnacentral:rRNA from 1 species
UGGUUGAUCCUGCCGGAGGNCACUGCUAUCUUUUGUUCGAUUAAGCCAUGCGAGUCGAGAGGGUUUGGCCCUCGGCGUACUGCUCAGUAACACGUGGAUAACCUGCCCUAGGGAAGGGGAUAAUCCCGGGAAACUGGGGAUAAUACCCUAUAGGUUACAGAUGCUGGAAUGCUCUGUAAUCAAAAGUUCCGGCGCCCUAGGAUGGAUCUGCGGCCGAUUAGGUUGUUGUUGGGGUAAUGGCCCAACAAGCCAGUAAUCGGUACGGGUUGUGGGAGCAAGAGCCCGGAGUUGGAUUCUGAGACACGAAUCCAGGCCCUACGGGGCGCAGCAGGCGCGAAAACUUUACAAUGCGGGCAACCGUGAUAAGGGAACCUCUAGUGCCUGUAAAUGCUGGCUGUUCAAAUGCCUAAAACACAUCUGGAGAAAGGGCCGGGCAAGACCGGUGCCAGCCGCCGCGGUAAUACCGGCGGACUCGAGUGGUGGCCACUUUUAUUGGGCUUAAAACGUUCGUAGCUGGGUUGUUAAGUCUCUUGGGAAAU